AUCGGAGGCGCUCAAAGGUUCCUUCAGAAUGGACGGAAACCAUUCGGAGAGUGCAAAGGCAGAAGGGAGCCUGACUGUGACACCGACGGGUGGAACAGAUACGAAAGUAGGACUUAGUGAUCCGGUGGUAUGAAAGUGGGAUUGCCAUCGCUCAACGGAUAAAAGCUACCCUGGGGAUAACAGGCUUAUCACUCCCAAGAGUUCACAUCGACGGAGUGGUUUGGCACCUCGAUGUCGGCUCAUCGCAUCCUGGGGCUGUAGCAGGUCCCAAGGGUUGGGCUGUUCGCCCAUUAAAGCGGUACGCGAGCUGGGUUCAGAACGUCGUGAGACAGUUCGGUCCCUAUCCGGCGCGGGCGUAGGAUAUCUGAGAGGAGCUGUCCUUAGUACGAGAGGACCGGGAUGGACGGACCGCUGGUGUAUCAGCUGCAUCGCCAGAUGCAUAAGGCUGGGUAGCCACGUCCGGAAGGGAUAAACGCUGAAGGCAUCUAAGCGUGAAGCCCCCCUCAAGAUGAGAUAUCCCUGCUU
rnacentral:rRNA from 1 species